GAGAGGCUGAGGAGUACGUACCAAGGGACAGUUUGUGAGACUCUGCCCCUCCCUCCCCACUGCUGAUAUAACAGCAUGAAAUUAAACCUAUUCCAGUCUGUGACAUCUGAUCCCUUUGACAUGACAUAGUACAACCUGUAGAGCCAGAGGUGGGGGCCAGGAAGCCCUGUUCUAGUCUCUCUGCACAACCUUGAGCCAUCUCAUCAUCUGCACAUCUGCCUGAACCUCAGUCUCCCACUCUGGACGUUGUCGGGGUGAUGGAGCAAGCAUUCAGUUAUUCUCUGCUGGAUUCUGAUGUGGUCUAAAGUCCACACUUUGUUGUGAAACACCGCAAUCUGUGAUGUACAGAACCUAUUACUGCGGCCACCCAGGAAUGCUGGGGGCAGGCCUUUUGAGAAGGUGAAUCAGCGUGUGUUAGCUCAGGGCAGAGGGCCUGGCGGUGAGACGUGAGAACAGCCAAUGUCAUGGCGGUGGGGGAGUGGACGUGAGCCAUCUGGGGCCCAGCAAACAGCAUGUUGAAAAAAACGAGGAACUCAAAGGCAGAUGAGCCUACCACGCUGGGAACAGUUGGGAGUACAUUGCUCAAGCCCCGGCCAGUUUUAUGUCACUGCUGGUGUGAAGCAGUGAACAGUGACCCAGCAUGCAUCCAGGUGGCGGGACAGAGUCAGACUCUCCAGGGCAGAGAGACUCUAAAACUGACGGCCAGGUCUUGCUCAGACUACGGGCCUGAGGGAAGAUCCAAGACUGAAACAGGUGCCGGAGAUUACAUCCAGGUUGCUGGUCUUGGUGGUGAACAAUACCCUUGCUUACCCCCAAGCCUUCUCACUAACCCUGACGCUCUUUAUACAGGGCUUGGAAUGGAGGGGGUGGAGUUGAGGAGAUCACAGAGGACCUAGGAGUGUGUGUAUCGGAGAGAGAUAGGAAACCACUGACCGUUCAGCACACAUUCAGAAUUACUGCCUGUCCCAGGGAGGGACCCACAGCUCCGGCGCUCCGUUCAGCAUCUGGAAGAGCAUAGCUCGCUGUGAGCGGCCGCCCCAGAAGACUGUAUCCCACCCAGCCAGCUCUCCUGCCUGCUUGCCUCUGCCCCACACCAGGACACUUCAUACUGUCAGAACCACUGGGUGUGUGAGCUUGUGAGAGGGUGUGUGGGCACACAUGUCCCUGUGUGGGGUGUGGAGGUCAGAGGGCAACUUGGAGGAAUUGGUUCUCUCCUUCCACCACUGGGGCCCAGGAAUCAAGCCGAGGUUCCCAGACGUGGUAGCAGCCUCCCUUACCUGUUAAACCAGUGCUUCCCAGACUUCCUAAUGCUGUGACCUCAUGCUGUGCUGACCCCCGCCCAUGACAUUAUCUCUGUUGGUAUUUUAUAACUGUAAUUUUGCUACUAUUAUGAAUCACAAUGUAAAUG
rnacentral:lncRNA from 1 species